rnacentral:rRNA from 1 species
AAUGAACGCUGGCGGCAGGCCUAACACAUGCAAGUCGAACGGAUCCUUCGGGAUUAGUCGCGGAUUGAUGAGUGAACCGGUGGAAAAUACCCAUUGGUACGGAAUAUCGUCGGGGAACUGGUAGUAAUACCGACGGUGGUCGAGCGAAGAACGUGUGAUCGACAAAGGAGUGGCCCGCGUUGGACUAGGUAGUUGGUGGGGUAAUGGCCUACCAAGCCGACGAUCCAUAGCUGGUUUGAGAGGAUGAUCAGCCACACUGGGACGGAGACACGGCCCAGAAUCCUACGGGAGGCAGCAGUGGGGAAUCUUAGACAAUGGGGGAAACCCUGAUCUAGCCAUGCCGCGUGAUCGAUGAAGGCCUUAGGGUUGUAAAGAUCUUUCAGGUGGGAAGAUAAUGACUGUACCAUCAGAAGAAGCCCCGGCUAACUCCGUGCCAGCCGCCGCGGUAA